rnacentral:rRNA from 3 species
ACGGGUGAGUAAUACAUCGGAACGUGUCCUGGAGUGGGGGAUAGCCCGGCGAAAGCCGGAUUAAUACCGCAUACGCUCUAAGGAGGAAAGGGGGGGAUCUUAGGACCUCUCGCUCAAGGGGCGGCCGAUGGCAGAUUAGCUAGUUGGUGGGGUAAAGGCCUACCAAGGCGACGAUCUGUAGCUGGUCUGAGAGGACGACCAGCCACACUGGGACUGAGACACGGCCCAGACUCCUACGGGAGGCAGCAGUGGGGAAUUUUGGACAAUGGGCGCAAGCCUGAUCCAGCAAUGCCGCGUGUGUGAAGAAGGCCUUCGGGUUGUAAAGCACUUUUGUCCGGAAAGAAAACCCCUGCCCUAAUACGGCGGGGGGAUGACGGUACCGGAAGAAUAAGCACCGGCUAACUACGUGCCAGCAGCCGCGGUAAUACGUAGGGUGCGAGCGUUAAUCGGAAUUACUGGGCGUAAAGCGUGCGCAGGCGGUUCGUUAAGACAGAUGUGAAAUCCCCGGGCUUAACCUGGGAACUGCAUUUGUGACUGGCGGGCUAGAGUAUGGCAGAGGGGGGUAGAAUUCCACGUGUAGCAGUG